UACGUAGGGUGCGAGCGUUAAUCGGAAUUACUGGGCGUAAAGCGUGCGCAGGCGGUUCGUUAAGUCAGAUGUGAAAGCCCCGGGCUCAACCUGGGAACUGCAUUUGAAACUGGCGGGCUUGAGUGUGGCAGAGGGGGGUGGAAUUCCGCGUGUAGCAGUGAAAUGCGUAGAGAUGCGGAGGAACACCGAUGGCGAAGGCAAUCCCCUGGGCCUGCACUGACGCUCAUGCACGAAAGCGUGGGGAGCAAACAGG
rnacentral:rRNA from 1 species